GCCGCCGCGGUAAUACGUAUGGUGCAAGCGUUAUCCGGAUUUACUGGGUGUAAAGGGAGCGCAGGCGGUACGGCAAGUCUGAUGUGAAAGCCCGGGGCUCAACCCCGGUACUGCAUUGGAAACUGUCGAACUAGAGUGUCGGAGGGGUAAGCGGAAUUCCUAGUGUAGCGGUGAAAUGCGUAGAUAUUAGGAGGAACACCAGUGGCGAAGGCGGCUUACUGGACGAUAACUGACGCUGAGGCUCGAAAGCGUGGGGAGCAAACAGGAUUAGAUACCCC
rnacentral:rRNA from 1 species